UACAGAGGUCCCAAGCGUUGUUCGGAUUCACUGGGCGUAAAGGGUGCGUAGGUGGUGAGGUAAGUCGGAUGUGAAAUCUCCGGGCUCAACCCGGAAAUGGCAUUGGAAACUACCUUGCUGGAGGAUUUGAGGGGGGAUUGGAAUACUUGGUGUAGCAGUGAAAUGCGUAGAUAUCAAGUGGAACACCAGUGGCGAAGGCGGGUCUCUGGACAGUUCCUGACGCUGGAGCACGAAAGCUAGGGGAGCAAACAGG
rnacentral:rRNA from 1 species